rnacentral:lncRNA from 1 species
UUUGCUUAUAAAUAUAUAAUAAAACUGAAACUAUGGAAAAUAUGAAGAUGUAUAGAGAGAUUGACAGAUUAGAACCUCAAAAGGAUGUGGGUGCUUAUAAUGUGGUUUUUUAGAACCCGAAGUCCAACAGGCGGACACAGCUUCAUGUUUUAAAAAGCAAAUGAGAUAAGAAGAAAUUAGUUAAUUAAUAAGAAAAAAAGAUACAUGCUAUUGUUUAAAGAUAUAACAGGAAACAUAUUGCUAUUUUUUGUGCAUAAAACAUUUUAAACAACGAAUAAAAAAAUAAACACAAAUGUGCUCUUGUUGAACCUCUUAGUCCUUUUGAAGUGAAAUUAAAUAUUAUUUGAUAUCAAACAAAUUCAUAAAUACAACAAAAGAUUACAACAGGUUUUUUGUAUAUGUUCAUCCCGAGUUUUACUGAAUAAUUACAAAUUAGUGUUUAUAAAGAUAAUGUGUUGAAUUAAAGUAAGUCUAUGUAUGUUUUGAAAAUAUCAUAUAGUUUUACUGCUUUUUGUCAUGUGUUUCUUCGUCCACUUCGCUGUGGUUUUUGUAUUUCAUUCAUUUGGGACAUGAUGUUUUCUGUGUAGUAUCUGUGAAAUGGAUAGAUGUUGGUUAAGUGUUGGCUAUAAAUAAAAAGCUAUAUUUUAGUCAUACCUGGAUGUUCUAAUUGGAGGCAUUUUCCUGUUUCACAUGAUUUAGUAGGGGUGAAGGACUCCAUAUUUGUAGUGGUUUGUUGGUCCAUUGUUGUCGAAGGUGUAGUUGGUGGUCUUCUAGUUGAAUUGAUAGUUGGUUGUGGACUUUUUAUAUCAUUGGUUGUGGUGACUAUGAAACGGAUAUUUUUAGUUGAUGGAAGUUUUGUGCAUUGUACAAAAACAUUCUUUGUCAACCCUUUAAAACGUUGCAGUGGUUCCGGUAAAGUCAGUGGUCAAAAUUACACACACUGGAACAAUUCCCACAAUCAUAAUAAACAUGCAAACUUGGUGUCUCUUCUAAAAGUGAACUCUUGCAUGAACGACGGGGGACUAUCGUAUUGGAAGUAGAAGCCAUUUGUCGUCGUUUUGGAGGCAUCACAAGAAGGCAUUUACUGAAAUGGAAAUCCAAAUUUCAUUGACUUGUAACAUACUUUUUAUGUAAUUCAUAUGGAACAUUAGAUUCUAAAAAGGUGUAGUUGAAAGUAACUAUUAUGAUUAGUAACUAACUUAUGGAGUAUAUAUUAAAUAACAUUUGGAAGAGAUUAAUAACAUACUCUAUUAUUGUUUUAACCCAUGGAUUCAUUGAACAUCAAAGAUAAGAAAUAUAUUUGCAACAACAAAAUUAGUCAUUAAUCAACUGAUAAUGGUAUAUAUUCAACUAAAGCUUGUAAAUAGGAUAAAAUUGAAAAAAUGACCAUUCUAUUAAAAUUUAUGCCUAAAGGACCAUUAUUGUAAUUGAGUAUUGAUUUAGGACCAAAUUAGUAAACUUAUGUACACAAAACAUAUUCAGUGAAAGGGUUAAAGACAACUUACCAAAUUUCUAAAGAUCCAAGGUAGAAUUGAAUAUUAGAUUCCUUAUCACAAAAUGUUUAUAAUUUUUAUAUUAACAUAAAUUCAUGAGAAACCAAAGGGUGUUAAAAUGUCUAACUUGCAGAGGCAAUGAAGAAAGAGAGAAAAAUUGAAAUUGAAUAUGGACAGAAAUCAAUAUCAAAUACAAAGGAUAGACAACAUACCUAGAAAUUCAAAUUGUAAUUGAGUGUAGUCGGUUGAAGGCGGAUACAAAGCAGAACCGUUUGUUGGCGACAAAAACGUCAAACCUAGAAUGAAAACUUAAACGUAUUGAGUUGGAAAUGAAGAAAUUUAUAUGAAAAUGGAACAGAAAAUCAAUAUGAUAUAAUUGCGAUAUAGUAUAGACGAGGUAGGCGUCUAGGAGUAUGACUAAAGAAGUAUUUCAAAAAUCAGUAAUAUUUAAAGAGAAAAUUUUAAAUUGACAUACCUUAUUAAUUGGAAUUGUUGGAUUCCUAGUUGUAAGUGCUCGAAGAUAAAGACGGUGGAAACGUCAAACACAGAUUUUGUAAUCAAAGAAAGAACGAAUUAAUAUGAUGGUGUUGGGAAUUUGCACAUAUUCACAAAGAUUAGAGAAAGUUGUUAUGUAUUGAAAGCAAGAAAGAGUUCACAAUUGACAUACCUUAUGAGUCGUAAUUGUUUGAGUCCAAAUUCUAAGUGCUUGGAGAAAAAGAUGGUGGUUGAGAGGCUCUGAAACGAAGUAGGACUAAUUAAUUUUAAACUAAAACAUGAAUAAAGUUCAAAUUUAGCACUAACUUUAUGAUGAACUCAACUAAAAACAUAGAAAGAAAAAUGAUACAUUUUACAAAUUAUAAAAAUAUAAACAAAAACAAUAGAAGGAACAAACACAAAAAGACGACACAAAAAAAGAUGUAAACAAAAAAUCAAAAUCAAAUAAAAACAUUAUAUGACCUACCGAAAUUCAAAAAUACAACAAAGAGCACAUGCUGUUUGUGGUGGUAAUUGAGCACCGACGGUCAAACCCACAAAGUCGAAGACAUCGCUCAAAAACACGGAAGGAUUAGAAGGAAUAGCAAUUGAAUUGAAAAUCACAAUAUAAUUGAUACAUUAUACGACAUACCAUAAUUCGUCAUAGAAACAAAUAGAAAUUCGUAGCCUUCAACAUACCAGAAUUUGUCACAGCAAUAGAUAGAUAUUCCUAGUCUCCUUAUAUCAUUAAUGAAAAUCCUGAAAUAAGAUUUCAGAAUUCCAGUUACCAAAUAUUAGAGUAAACAUAAAAAGUUAAAGGGGUUAUUUUGUCAUUAUUAAAGUGUUUUUAACACAUUUGACUAAUAUACAAAGAAUAAGUACUCAAUUAGAAAAUUAUUCUUCAUGAUGCAAGAAAUAUUAUGUUUUUCUUUUAUUCAACUUUUGUCGCUAACAUACAACACAAUACAAAAAAAAAAUGGUUCACUAUGGGAUUUCCAGGGUAUUUGUUGACUCACCUUCUUUUAUAAUGUCAAAAUUAGCAUUCUUUAUGAUAAAUGACCAAUGAUUCCAUCUACUAUUGUAAAAGCUUUAGUCUUUUUGAUAAAUAACCAAUAAUAUAUGGGUGGUGAGUCCUAGAUUAUACAAAUUCUUAUUUAGGGUGCAUUCUUUUGAACGCUUUUGGAAGUUUCUUCAGAUAACCGUAUCAGGGUUUUUUUUUUCAGUUUAUGGUUGUUUUACAACUUACUUUAGUUGUCAUUUGACCUUUUUGCCCCUGUGAGGCUGUGGCUUACCUGGUUUUUGUUCCAAUCUUGAUUGCAGUAUACACCUGCUGUUGAUACACUUAGAUGCAAGCCAAGUUAACUACACCAGAGAUUAAGAUAAUGACUAUUUGUAUAGAAAUUUUACUUUGUGGUGAAAAGAGUCGUUUUGUAUUUUUUUUUUUGGAAAUUGGCCAUUAACUGUUACUGUGUGUGGGUGUUUCGGGCUAAGAUAUUGAUUUAUCUGUUUGUGUAUUUUAUCCCUUCUUUCAUAGUUCUUUUUGUUGAAAAGAGUCGUUUUUUUGUUUAUAUGCAAUCAUUUUUUUUCUUUAACAUAUAGUAAUAAAUACAAUUAGUUAAACACGUUAAGCAUGCCUUUAGUCGUAUUAUGUAUCCAAUUGUAUCGAAUCAAAUCAUCCUAAUAUUACAUUAAACGCUUUUGGUCUUAAAUGAGUCAGAGGAAACUUUUGUUUAUACUUGAAUGAGUGAAUUAUUUGAGACUAAAAUCUGAUGGAAUGGCGUUUUAACAUUGAAAAGAAUUUGCUCUUCUUUUCUUCACAUGAAUUGAUGAUCAACAGCAUUUGUAUGAGAGUGUUUUGAAAUGAGAGCAUAGAUUCUUGUCAUUACAAUUUGUAAAACCUCUCUUAAUCAUUACAUAAAUAAUUUGAAAUAGCUUCGAGUUAUUGACUCUUUGUUGGAUUCACAACUUUAGGGUUAGUUGGGGUGACAAAUUAUGUUCAUUCUUACGAUGUUCUGACCAGGAAAUGGACCAGGUAGUUCUAAUUCGUUCUUAUAUUUGACUUAACUUUUCUAGAAGUCAAUGCUAAUGCUUUUUUUUUCAGAAUUCGACAAGCUGGAGAACCACCUUCACCCAGGGUUGCUCAUGCAGCUGCUGUUGUUGGAACAAUGGUUGUAUUUCAGGUAACCAUAAUUAUGAACUAAAGUGAAAAAAGGAGAUCUUUUAGCCAUUUAUCUGAUUUUUGGUUUUUGAUAAACCGAUUGUGCAUGAUUAGGGCGGCAUUGGUUGAUAAAAUAAUAAAUAUUAAGAUUCUUUCUCCAUUUCGAGGAGGUGUCUCGCAUGUGUGGACUUCCCUUUAACUUUUACUUAAUUAAGUAAUUAAGCUAUAUAGACUAUUACUAAGUUGAUAACAUCUAGGUUUUGGAACAAUUAUAUAUAUAAAAGCCUUUAUCGUUCUAUUCCUCAUGUCCUUGAUCCAUGAUCUUUGUUUGUUUUCUAAACAACUAUUUCUAUAACUUAACUUUUACAAUACUGUUAAAUUGAACUAAUAAAUUAACAAAAUAGAAGGUUAUAUAAUAAUGCAACUUUUGACAUUGUUGUUGUUUUUAUAUGUAGGAUCCUAAACAUGGACACUGGUGGCUACAAUUUGGAUCAGGGGUGCUAAUAGGAUAUUGGCCAUCUUUUUUUAUUCAGUCAUCUACAAAAAGAAGCAAGUAUGAUACAAUUUGGAGGGGAGAUAGUGAACACAAGAUCAGGGGGUAUCACACAUCAACUCAAAUUGGAAGUGGCCAUUUUGCAGAUGAAGGUUUUGGAAAAGCUUCAUACUUUAGGAAUUUACAGGUUGUUGAUUGGGACAACAGUUUGCUUCCUUUAACAAAUCUCCAUGUAUUAACUGAUAAUCCAAAUUGUUACAAUAUAAAAGCCGGAAAAAAUAAUGUUUGGGCGAAUUGUAUUUAUGAUGGAGGUCCAGGAAGGAAAGGAGGUUGUCAAUAGAGAAAAUUGCAUAGUAGUAACAAUAUUUUUAUUUACAUUAUUAAUUCUUUCCCUCUAGAGGAUUUUUGGAAUUUUUUGUCUAAAAAAGAUCCCUUUUUAAGUUUUAUUUGUAGUAGGUUGCCAUAAUUAAGCCAUGUUAAUGAGGGCUCUUGUAUAUUAGCGUUAGGGGUAGUAACUGAUUUUAUAAUGUAUUAUGGUUUGUAUUUCGUAAUGUGGUGAUUUGAUUUUUCAUUAUAACAGCAAACAAUAACCUAACAACAAAAUAAAUAGCCUACCUUGACAACAUAUAUAGGUGGAACUUUUGCACUUUAUUCUUCAAUAUGCGGACAUGCUAAAGUAAGCCUUUUACCAAAUCAACAAACUGCUGAUGAAUCACUGUGUACAUAUAAAUUCAAGCAAUCUAAUGAUGGGAAAUAUUGUCUAGAGGGUUUCGUAACUUUAAUUUCACAGAGUAGGAAAGACAAUCAAAAUCAUAUGACGGAGAACAUACCAAGAAUUGAAAUUGCAAUUGAGUGUAGAUUAUUGGAGGCGGCAACAGAAGGCGUCGUCGGAGAUGUCAAACCCAUAUUUGAAAUCCUAAUUUAUUGAUAGAGAAGCCGUAGGAGAUCUCAAAUCCACACAGUCGGAAAACAGAAAAAGAAGAGGAGUCUGAAGAUUUUGGAGAAACGUAUAAAAACGAUGAUGGAGGAAUAUUCUCUAGACGAUUUCAUAACUUCAAUUUCACAGAGUCGGAAUAUAAGAAAAAAGCAAAUUCGAGAUUGAAACAAAAUCAAUAUCGAAUAGAACAAAACAUACCCAGACAUCAAAUUUCAAUUGAUUGUGGAUGGUUGGAGGCAGCAACAACCGUUUUUUGGCAAGAAAUUGAAACUUAGACAGAAAAUCAAAAUCGAAUAGAAGAAAACAUACCCAGACUUCAAAUUUCAACUGAUUGUAGAUGGUUGGAGGCAGCAACAACCGUUUUUUGGCAAGAGAAGUUGAAAUUCUAAGUUCUUGAUUGAUAAGGUGUAUGAGAUGUCAAACCCAUAAUUCAAAUUCGGAAUUGUUGAUUGAGAAGCGUAUUCAGAAUUCUUGAUUGAGAAGCGUAUGAGAUGUCAAGAAGAGAAGUCUGAAGAAAUGGUAGAAACUUAUGGAAGCGAUCAUGGGGGUAAAAUUUUAAAAGUGUUGAUUGUUAUGGAGAAUUUGGAGAAACCUAAUGUGGCGAAACUCUAAAC